UACGAAGGGGGCUAGCGUUGCUCGGAAUUACUGGGCGUAAAGGGCGCGUAGGCGGCACUGUUAGUCAGGCGUGAAGGUCCUGGGCUCAACCUGGGAACUGCGCUUGAUACGGCAGAGCUAGAGGAUGGAAGAGGCUCGCGGAAUUCCCAGUGUAGAGGUGAAAUUCGUAGAUAUUGGGAAGAACACCUGAGGUGAAGACGGGUUGCUGGGCUGACACUGACGCUGAGGCGCGAAAGCUAGGGGAGCGAACAGG
rnacentral:rRNA from 1 species